GGCCUCCUGGUGCUUACCAUGGUCUGUGUUCUUGCUCUGACCGGUUAGAAAGAAGAGGCAGAGUAAACCUAUCCCAUAUACACCAUAGCCCAGGCCCCGUGCCUGUCUGUACUGUGAAUGGGGGGACAUGG